CUAUUCGCAAGAAUAGGACUGAAGGAAGCGGAACUACAAUCCCGAUCCUAUCGAGACCGGUACUGACGAACAGAAAUCAGAUAAGAAGCUAUUAGUUUGGACGAGCAAGCACAUCAAUGUGAGGUUCAAAAUACUUAUAGUGAAAACUAAUAUAGUAGAUCUGGCAGGGAUCGAGUGAAAGAAGAUGUU
rnacentral:ncRNA from 2 species